rnacentral:rRNA from 1 species
UUUCUCCGCCGGCGACCGGCGCACGGGUGAGUAACACGUAUGCAACCUGCCCCUGUCAGGGGGACAACCCGCCGAAAGGCGGGCUAAACCCGCGUACAUGCCACCGGGGCAUCCCGGAGGCAGGAAAGGCUUCGGCCGGACAGGGAUGGGCAUGCGGCGCAUUAGGCAGUAGGCGGGGUAACGGCCCACCUAACCGACGAUGCGUAGGGGUUCUGAGAGGAAGGUCCCCCACACUGGUACUGAGACACGGACCAGAUUCCUACGGAAGGCAGCAG